rnacentral:rRNA from 1 species
UACGUAGGGUGCGAGCGUUAAUCGGAAUUACUGGGCGUAAAGCGUGCGCAGGCGGUUUGUUAAGUCUGAUGUGAAAGCCCCGGGCUCAACCUGGGAACUGCAUUGGAAACUGGCAGCUCGAGUAUGGCAGAGGGGGGUGGAAUUCCGCGUGUAGCAGUGAAAUGCGUAGAGAUGCGGAGGAACACCGAUGGCGAAGGCAGCCCCCUGGGCCAAUACGUGACGCUCAGGCACGAAAGCGUGGGGAGCAAACAGG